UACGUAGGGGGCGAGCGUUGUCCGGAUUUAUUGGGCGUAAAAGGCUUGUAGGUGGCCACGUCAAGUCGGAUGUGAAAUCUCCCGGCUCAACUGGGAGGGGUCAUUCGAUACUGGCGGGCUCGAGGCCGGUAGGGGGAAGCGGAAUUCCCGGUGUAGUGGUGGAAUGCGUAGACAUCGGGAGGAACACCAGUGGCGAAGGCGGCUUCCUGGACCGGUUCUGACACUGAGGAGCGAAAGCGUGGGGAGCGAACAGG
rnacentral:rRNA from 1 species